GAGUCUCCGGCUGGGUCCGAACUCCUUGUUUUUUUUAUCUUCAAGUCCGUAGCUCUGCAAUUGGCGAAUUGUUGGUGUUUUAUUUUCCUGCGGCUAGGUUGUGAGUGUUGGCGGCGUGACCCAAGGGGCGGAAGCAUAAUGUCUAUGUUCUUGAAGUGUGGUGGAAGUGGGCUCUUCUUCCUCUCGAUUGUGGUCCAGCAGCUUGUCUUCUAUGUUGAAGUGUUUGGUGGUGUAUUGCAGAAGUGAAGAACUCAUAAUUUUUGACGACGUACAGGGGUUGAGCUUCUUGCUGGAUUCACAUCUCUCUUCUCUUGUUGCGGCAGGAAUCCAAGGUGGACUUGGCCUUUAGCAAAAUCCUUGUCGUCAACAAUCAUUGUUUUUUUUUGGUGGUUGGUUUCUUGCACUAAAUUGGCGCUACGGUGGAGUUGCCGUGGAUUUGCUACACAACGAAGCAAGCAACUUGGUGAGGGCCUUCCAACAUUGAACCCUUAAUGAAGGACCAUCAAGACGGAGUCCAAUGGCAUCAAGAGUUCCCUUAUCACCAACUUGAAAAGCUCAUUAAUUCUCAUGCCUAGAACAUCGUCAACUACAAACGUGAUGUUAUCAACAUUAUUCCGCGCUGAUAUUACCCUUGCAAGCUCGAUUGCUCUCUCACUGUAAUCGGUUUCAAUUAAAUCUGAAAAUCCUUGCUUUGCUAAAGCAUGCAGAAGCAAGCCAUUCCCAGUACCGAGGUCAAGGACGUUCCAAUUCUCCAGUUCUAAUGCUAUUGAACCGCCAGCAAAAACAUCUGCAGCCUCCCUCGUCCCCAAUACAUCUACAUCGUCACAAGGCAGGCCCGCUGCAAAAGAAACACAAACCCUAGCUGUCCAAGCCACCAUAGUUUCUAUCACCUCAUCUCCGAACCAGAUUUCACCGGCAUCGCCUUGCUCGUGAAUUUUGAUGAGUUCGUCAACUUAGGUUGCAUUCCAAUGCGACUGCAAGCCGAGAACUGAAGGCUCCACAUCUGCAUCGUGUUCUUCUUUGUCUGAUAAAUAAUCAGUGAAACGAAAUAGCGUUGAAAGCAUCAACAACAUUGGCAUUCCUUUGAUCUUUUCCAUCCAAGGUACUACCGUAUUCACUGCGGACGGGCCAAGAGUCCAGCAACAGAUCGCUCAUCGUCGGAGUAAUACCCUAUGUUAGCUCAUUCUUGACGCUGGAUAGAAAAUAAGCUAUUGGAAGAUUAAUUCGCGAGAUUCGAGGCACCACUAAAGAAAGUGCAGUUGUGCAUUUGGAAGAUUGUACCAGAUUAUCUCCAGAUGUAGUGCGUGAUUGAAGCGUGAUCGUAGCUCGAUUCUUGUAGAUGGAUGCUAGUGUUGUAAAGCAUGAUGAGUUUUACGUUUGAUACUAUAGCUGUUCGAGAGUGUUAUAUAGAGGAGAACUAGAAAGUUUGUAGAGUUGAAGCGAGAGUGUGGAGACAGUCCAGGAGACUCUCAAUUCCUGCAUGAAGUCAGCAAAAGAGACGAGCAAGCCAUGCAUCAAAAACUUUCAACUUCUGCAACUUCCUACUGAAGCGAGUGAACACCUAGCAUGCCAGCCAUUUAGUAGUGGUACAGCUAUCAGCGCAUCUCCAAUGUGCCUCAGUCUUCUGCAAAAAUUCUCAAGGUGACAGUCUCGUACAGAUUGAAAUUUAGAGUAGGGUGAAUUUACAAUUGGGUAGACUUAAGAUCUAGACGAAUUUUGGUUAGGAAUUGACGGAAUCAGUGUGGAUGAAAUUAUUAAUCAAGGAUGACUUUUUAAAAUUGAAUAGACAAGGGUGGAUGAAAUCUCAUUUGUGAAUGAGAAAUCCUUAUUGGAUGAAAACUCAUUUGCAGAUGAGAAAUCAUUCUUAGAUGAAAAUUUAGUUAUGGAUGAUCUUAAUUACUAAAAUUAAAAUUAAAACAAUAAAAAAUUCCCAUAA